UAGAUAGGUGUAAGGCAGGAAGUUUGUC
rnacentral:piRNA from 1 species